rnacentral:rRNA from 1 species
GUAGGUGGCAAGCGUUGUCCGGAAUUAUUGGGCGUAAAGCGCGCGCAGGCGGUUCGUUUAAGUCUGAUGUGAAAGCCCACGGGCUCAACCGUGGAGGGUCAUUGGAAACUGGAGAACUUGAGUACAGAAGAGGAAAGCGGAAUUCCACGUGUAGCGGUGAAAUGCGUAGAGAUGUGGAGGAACACCAGUGGCGAAGGCGGCUUUCUGGUCUGUAACUGACGCUGAGGCGCGAAAGCGUGGGGAGCAAACAGGAUUAAAUACCCUGGUAGUCCACGCCGUAAACGAUGAGUGCUAAGUGUUAGGGGGUUUCCGCCCCUUAGUGCUGCAGCUAACGCAUUAAGCACUCCGCCUGGGGAGUACGGCCGCAAAGGCUG